UACGUAGGUGGCAAGCGUUGUCCGGAUUUACUGGGCGUAAAGGGCGUGCAGGCGGUCUGUUAAGUUCAGGGUGAAAGCUCCCGGCUCAACUGGGAGAGGUCCUUGGAUACUGGCAGACUUGAGGGAGGUAGAGGAGAGUGGAAUUCCCGGUGUAGUGGUGAUAUGCGUAGAUAUCGAGAGGAACACCUGCGGCGAAGGCGGGUUGCUGGGCUGAUACUGGCGCUGAGGCGCGAAAGCCAGGGGAGCGAACGGG
rnacentral:rRNA from 1 species